rnacentral:rRNA from 1 species
GACGUAGGGCGCAAGCGUUGUCCGGAUUUAUUGGGCGUAAAGAGCUCGUAGGCGGCCUGUCGCGUCGACCGUGAAAACCCGCAGCUCAACUGCGGGCUUGCGGUCGAUACGGGCAGGCUGGAGUUCGGUAGGGGAGACUGGAAUUCCUGGUGUAGCGGUGAAAUGCGCAGAUAUCAGGAGGAACACCGGUGGCGAAGGCGGGUCUCUAGGCCGAUACUGACGCUGAGGAGCGAAAGCGUGGGGAGCGAACAGG